rnacentral:RNase_P_RNA from 1 species
GAGGAAAGUCCGGGCUCCACAGAGCAGAACGCCGGGUAACACCCGGUGGGGGAAACCCCGAGGAAAGUGCCACAGAAAACAGACCGCCUUCGCCGCGCGAGCGGCGCGGGUAAGGGUGAAACGGUGGGGUAAGAGCCCACCGCGCAGACGGUAACGGAUGCGGCACGGCAAACCCCGUUCGGAGCAAGGCCAUGUAUAGGAACGUUCGAGGGCUGCUCGCCCGAGUUCCAGGGUAGGCCGCUCGAGGCGCACGGUAACGGGCGUCCCAGAUGAAUGAUCGCCAAGUGUCCCCGGACACUCACAGAACCCGGCUUAUGAAUUCUGCACAGAACCCGGCUUA